UACGAAGGGGGCUAGCGUUGUUCGGAAUCACUGGGCGUAAAGCGCACGUAGGCGGAUUGUUAAGUCAGGGGUGAAAUCCCGAGGCUCAACCUCGGAACUGCCUUUGAUACUGGCGAUCUAGAGUCCGGGAGAGGUGAGUGGAACUGCGAGUGUAGAGGUGAAAUUCGUAGAUAUUCGCAAGAACACCAGUGGCGAAGGCGGCUCACUGGCCCGGAACUGACGCUGAGGGCGAAAGCCAGGGGAGCGAACGGG
rnacentral:rRNA from 1 species